rnacentral:rRNA from 1 species
GAUGAACGCUGGCGGCGUGCCUAAUACAUGCAAGUCGAGCGAACGGACGAGAGGCUUGCUUCUCUGAUGUUAGCGGCGGACGGGUGAGUAACACGUGGAUAACCUACCUAUAAGACUGGGAUAACUUCGGGAAACCGGAGCUAAUACCGGAUGAUAUUUUGAACCGCAUGGUUCAAAAGUGAAAGACGGUCUUGCUGUCACUUAUAGAUGGAUCCGCGCUGCAUUAGCUAGUUGGUAAGGUAACGGCUUACCAAGGCAACGAUGCAUAGCCGACCUGAGAGGGUGAUCGGCCACACUGGAACUGAGACACGGUCCAGACUCCUACGGGAGGCAGCAGUAGGGAAUCUUCCGCAAUGGGCGAAAGCCUGACGGAGCAACGCCGCGUGAGUGAUGAAGGUCUUCGGAUCGUAAAACUCUGUUAUUAGGGAAGAACAUAUGUGUAAGUAACUGUGCACAUCUUGACGGUACCUAAUCAGAAAGCCACGGCUAACUACGUG